UGGGGUGGCGGCUUGUGCCGUUGCCAGAUGGGAGCGCACAGCGUGAAGCAGGCCAGCGGAGCAGCGCAACCUCCAUUGGUGCCUCCUGUGG
rnacentral:SRP_RNA from 15 species